rnacentral:misc_RNA from 1 species
UCCUUCUUACGAAGGCAGUCUCCCGUGACAUAGUAACACGGAACAGGGGUUGCGCUCGUUACCCCACUUAAGGGAACAGCUCACGCCACGAGCUGACGACAACCAUGCAGCACCUACAGUGCACCCUCGAAGGCGGCCACCGUUUCCGGCGGCUUGCAGCACUAUUUCAAGCCCAGGUAAGGUUCCUCGCUUAUUGUCGAAUUAAACCACAUGCUCCACCGCUUGUGCGGGUCCCCGUCUAUUCCUUUGAGUUUUAACCUUGCGGUCGUACUUCCCAGGCGGAAUGCUUAACGCGUUAGCUUGGUUCACCGACACCGAGAGGGUCGAUACUCCCGAUAUCUAGCAUUCAUCGUUUAGGGCGUGGACUA